GAUGAACGCUGGCGGCGUGCCUAAUACAUGCAAGUCGAGCGAACAGACGAGGAGCUUGCUCCUCUGACGUUAGCGGCGGACGGGUGAGUAACACGUGGAUAACCUACCUAUAAGACUGGGAUAACUUCGGGAAACCGGAGCUAAUACCGGAUAAUAUAUUGAACCGCAUGGUUCAAUAGUGAAAGACGGUUUUGCUGUCACUUAUAGAUGGAUCCGCGCCGCAUUAGCUAGUUGGUAAGGUAACGGCUUACCAAGGCAACGAUGCGUAGCCGACCUGAGAGGGUGAUCGGCCACACUGGAACUGAGACACGGUCCAGACUCCUACGGGAGGCAGCAGUAGGGAAUCUUCCGCAAUGGGCGAAAGCCCGACGGAGCAACGCCGCGUGAGUGAUGAAGGUCUUCGGAUCGUAGAACUCUGUUAUUAGGGAAGAACAAAUGUGUAAGUAACUAUGCACGUCUUGACGGUACCUAAUCAGAAAGCCACGGCUAACUACGUG
rnacentral:rRNA from 1 species